GCCAGACUCCUACGGGAGGCAGCAGUGGGGGAUAUUGCACAAUGGGGGGAACCCUGAUGCAGCGACGCCGCGUGGGUGAAGAAGUAUUUCGGUAUGUAAAGCCCUAUCGGCAGGGAAGAAAUUGGACGGUACCUGACUAAGAAGCCCCGGCUAACUACGUGCCAGCAGCCGCGGUAAUACGUAGGGGGCAAGCGUUAUCCGGAUUCACUGGGUGUAAAGGGAGCGUAGACGGCCAUGCAAGCCUGGAGUGAAAGCCCGGGGCCCAACCCCGGGACUGCUCUGGGAACUGUGCGGCUGGAGUGCGGGAGGGGCAGGCGGAAUUCCUGGUGUAGCGGUGAAAUGCGUAGAUAUCAGGAGGAACAUCGGCGGCGAAGGCGGCCUGCUGGACCGCGACUGACGUUGAGGCUCGAAAGCGUGGGGAGCAAACAGGAUUAGAUACCCUCGUAGU
rnacentral:rRNA from 1 species